rnacentral:rRNA from 1 species
UGAGGAAUAUUGGUCAAUGGGCUAAGGCCUGAACCAGCCAAGUCGCGUGAGGGAAGACGGUCCUAUGGAUUGUAAACCUCUUUUGUCGGGGAGCAACGAGGCCACGUGUGGCCGAAGUGAGAGUACCCGAAGAAAAAGCAUCGGCUAACUCCGUGCCAGCAGCCGCGGUAAUACGGAGGAUGCGAGCGUUAUCCGGAUUUAUUGGGUUUAAAGGGUGCGUAGGCGGAACAUUAAGUCAGCGGUAAAAUCGAGGGGCUCAACCCCUUUAAGCCGUUGAAACUGGUGAUCUUGAGUGGGCGAGAA